GUAGGGGGCAAGCGUUGUCCGGAUUUAUUGGGCGUAAAGAGCGUGUAGGCGGCCAGACAGGUCCGUUGUGAAAACUAGAGGCUUAACCUCUAGACGUCGAUGGAAACCGUCUGGCUAGAGUCCGGAAGAGGAGAAUGGAAUUCCUGGUGUAGCGGUGAAAUGCGCAGAUAUCAGGAAGAACACCCGUGGCUAAGGCGGUUCUCUAGUACGGUACUGACGCUGAGACGCGAAAGCGUGGGGAGCGAACAGGAUUAGAUACCCUGGUAGUCCACGCCGUAAACGAUGGGUGCUAGGUGUGGGGGGUGUCGACUCCCCCCGUGCCGAAGCUAACGCAUUAAGCACCCCGCCUGGGGAGUACGGCCGCAAGGCUA
rnacentral:rRNA from 1 species